rnacentral:rRNA from 1 species
AUGUCUUCUUAUUCUUCCGCGUUGUCUUCUCUCCGACCUCUUGAUUCGCCUGUUAAUGUUCUUACUGCCGAUGGCACAUCUUUUCCUGUUGCUAGUCGUGGUAUUCUUUCCACUCCAUCUUUUUCUGUUCCGAGUGUUUCACAUGUUCCUCGCCCUACCAUGAAUCUUUUUUCCGCUGCCCAACUUACUGAUUCUUGUUGUCGUUUCAUUCUGGAUACCGACUCUUGCUCCAUUCAGGAUCGUCGCACCAAGGCUUUUGUUGGUGCUGGCCCCCGAAGCCGUGAGUCAAAGGGCUUUGGGAGGUUGACUGGCUUUGUGUUCCUUCCGCUGCCACCACUUCUGCCAGCUCUCAUGCUCUUGCUGCCUCUUCGUCCGCGUCCUUCCAGCAGUGGCAUCAUCGACUUGGUCACAUCUGUGGCUCUCGCUUGUCUUCCUUAG